UAAUGCCAAAGCAUUUUUUUCUGUAUUAAAGGAGCAAACUAAGGUAAGCUACAUAUCAUCAUCCUUGAACUCUGAUUCCGCCAAUAUAUAAGCUCAAUUGGCUGCAGGCUGCGAUAAAGAUGGGUUCAGUAAGAGUAAAGAAACCCCAGGCAGUAUGCGUUCCAUACCCAGCACAAGGCCAUAUGAACCCCAUGAUGCAAUUAGCCAGGCUCGUACACUUCAAGGGUUUUCACAUAACCUUUGUCAACACUGAGUUACCACAAGCGCUUAAUCUGGUCCAAAGGAGCAGAUCACCUCAAGGGCGUGCCAGAUUUCUGCUUCGAAACCAUACCGGACGGGUUGCCACCUUCCAACCGUGAUGCAACCCAAGAUGUCCCUGCCCUUAGUGAUUCCACAAGAAAGAACUGCUUGGCAACCUUUAAAGAGCUAGUGCUUAAGCUCAAUUCUGUACAUGAGUCUGAAGUGCCUCCUGUUAGUUGCAUAAUAUCGGAUGGGACUAUGGGCUUUGCAAGUAAAGCUGCUGAAGAAUUAGGCAUCCCGGAGAUACAAUUCUGGACUGCAUCGGCUUGUGGCUUCUCUCGCCGAGUCGCCGCACGACCUCAUGCUGACCCAGUAACCACCCUUGCAGGCCGCGGUCGACACGCACCAUGCAAGAAGCUUUGAAAACAAAAAUAAUCCAAGUACCUUUGAAAGGAACAAAGCCUCUUUUGGUGAGUUCAGUGAAGGACAGAUAUCCCUGGAAGCCACAAGCCGAUGCAGUCCAGAAUUGUAUCUCCGGGAUGCCUAAUUCUUCAGCAGCUUUACUUGCAAAGCCCAUAGUCCCAUCCGAUAUUAUGCAACUAACAGGAGGCACUUCAGACUCAUGUACAGAAUUGAGCUUAAGCACUAGCUCUUUAAAGGGUGCCAAGCAGUUCUUUCUUGUGGAAUCACUAAGGGCAGGGACAUCUUGGGUUGCAUCACGGUCAGAAGGCGGCAACCCGUCCGGUAUGGUUUCGAAGCGGAAAUCUGGCAGGCCCUUGAAGUGAUCUGCUCCUCUGGACCGGAUUAAGCGCUUGUGGUUGAACUCAGUGUUGACAAAGGUUAUAUGAAAACCCUUGAAGUGUAGGAGCUUGGCUAAUUGCAUCAUGGGGUUCACAUGGCCUUGUGCUGGGUAUGGAACACAUGCUGCAUGGGGUUUCUUUACUCCUAUUGAACCCAUCUUUAUAGCAGCCUGCAGCCAAUUGACCCUAUAUAUUGGUGGAAUCAGAGUUCAAGAAUGAUGAUAUGUAGCUUUCCUUAGUUUGCUCCUUUUAUACAGAAAAAAAUGCUUUGGUAUUAGCCCUUAGACAGAAUAAAAAUAUCUCAUAAAGUCUUAUAAGAGACGUAACAAAAAUAAAUGCAUUUAUUAACGUCACAAGUGAUUAAGGAGUUCUCAGUCAACCAUUCUGCUCGAGGUUUUUCUCACAGUGACAUAAUUUCACAGGAACUUAAGCUUAAACAUGAUAGCUUGUAAACAUUAACGAGCAGAACCUCAUGAUGUCACUUCCUUGUCUAUAUAUUAAUUUGAUUAAUGCCUA